GUCCACGCUGUAAACGAUGGGUACUAGAUGUCGGGAGAACUUACCCUCUCGGUAUCGGAGCCAACGCGUUAAGUACCCCGCCUGGGGAUUACGGCCGCAAGGUUAAAACUCAAAGAAAUUGACGGGGGCCCGCACAAGCGGUGGAGAAUGUUGUUUAAUUCGAUGCUACGCGAAAAAACCUUACCUGGGCUUGACAUCCGACGCUACCCUAUGAAAGUAGGGGUUCUCGCAAGAGACGUCGAGACAGGUGUUGCAUGGCUGUCGU
rnacentral:rRNA from 1 species